rfam:Streptomyces sp. CB03911 scaffold7, whole genome shotgun sequence.
CUUCAACGACCCCAACCACAACGGCCGCCCCUCCGCACGACCCCGCCCGUACGUCGACAGCAGCGCCUGCGCCUC